rnacentral:rRNA from 1 species
UACGUAGGUGGCGAGCGUUUGUCCGGAUUUACUGGGCGUAAAGGGCGCGUAGGCGGGCUGCCGAGUCCGGGGUGAAAGCCUCCCGCUCAACGGGAGAAGGGCCCCGGAUACUGGCGGCCUCGAGGCGGGUAGGGGCGGGCGGAACUGUGGGUGGAGCGGUGAAAUGCGUUGAUAUCCACAGGAACUCCGGUGGCGAAGGCGGGCCCCGCUGGACCCCGAUCUGACGGCUGAGGC